CACAGCCGCGGUAAUACGGAGGGUGCAAGCGUUAAUCGGAUUUACUGGGCGUAAAGCGUGCGUAGGCGGCUUCUUAAGUCGGAUGUGAAAUCCCUGAGCUUAACUUAGGAAUUGCAUUCGAUACUGGGAAGCUAGAGUAUGGGAGAGGAUGGUAGAAUUCCAGGUGUAGCGGUGAAAUGCGUAGAGAUCUGGAGGAAUACCGAUGGCGAAGGCAGCCAUCUGGCCUAAUACUGACGCUGAGGUACGAAAGCAUGGGGAGCAAACAGGAUUAGAUACCCCAGUAGUCCCUGUCUCUUAUACA
rnacentral:rRNA from 1 species